ACGGAAGGCAGCAGUCGGGAAUAUUGCGCAAUGGAGGAAACUCUGACGCAGUGACGCCGCGUAUAGGAAGAAGGUUUUCGGAUUGUAAACUAUUGUCGUUAGGGAAGAAAAAAGACAGUACCUAAGGAGGAAGCCCCGGCUAACUAUGUGCCAGCAGCCGCGGUAAUACAUAGGGGGCAAGCGUUAUCCGGAAUUAUUGGGUGUAAAGGGUGCGUAGACGGGAAGGUAAGUUAGUUGUGAAAUCCCUCGGCUCAACUGAGGAACUGCAACUAAAACUGUCUUUCUUGAGUAUCGGAGGGGAAAGCGGAAUUCCUAGUGUAGCGGUGAAAUGCGUAGAUAUUAGGAGGAACACCAGUGGCGAAGGCGGCUUUCUGGACGGUAACUGACGUUGAGGCACGAAAGUGUGGGGAGCAAACAGGAUUAGAUACCCUGGUA
rnacentral:rRNA from 1 species